rnacentral:lncRNA from 1 species
AUGGUUUUCUUCCUCUUCUCCAGAUUACAGAGUCUUUUAUUUCUGCUAAAGUUAAUAGGAGCAUUUCUGUUGCCUGCCAUUUUCCUCAUACCUCCAACAACUACCACCCUUCUCCCUCCUACUAUUUUCUUCUUAUUUCACUGAGAAACUAGAAGCCAGCAUAGUAUAAUUCCUUCAUCUUUCCAACUAAAUCUACCAGUCUCUUAGAAAUGUUAUCACAGAUGGACUCCCUUGUUUUUAUCUAAAGACAACUUUUCCACAUGAGCUCUGGUCCCAUCUCCCCAUCCUUUUCCAUGUACUCGUGGACUUGGCUCCAGUAAUAACCCCCUUUUUCUCAUGUAUUUAUCUCUCACUCCUAGAUAAUGCCCAUCAGUAUGGAAACAUAUGUAUGCAGAGCACUCAGGGCAGAGCCUGUGCACAGCAAAGGCUCAUUCAUACCGGUUAUUAGUAUUAUUACCAUCAUCAUCCUCUUUUUCUACCGGAUCACCCUUCCUGGGUUUUGUUAUACGUCAGUGUCUAUUCUCCCUCCUGAUGGUAACAGCAUCCCAACAGUGUUUUGGAGAAUCACUCCUCUGCUAUUAGAUGUACGAAGUAGUGGUACCUGUCUUCCUCUGGCUAACAGGUGGGCACACAUGCCCUAAAUUGGCCUGAUGCCUUUUCUCUG